AUAUAUAUAGUCCUUUGCUUAGUCUACAGUUGCAAGAGUAUAUAUAUAUAUGUACUCUUGCAAAUGUAGACUAAGCAAAGGCCUCCAACGUUAC
rnacentral:pre_miRNA from 16 species